rnacentral:tRNA from 1 species
GAUGAAAUGCCUGAAAAAGGAUUAUUUUGAUAGAAUAAAACAUGUAUAUUUUUUUAUACUUUCAUUA